rnacentral:ncRNA from 2 species
UAGCUUUGCCUGUGCAUAGGUAGCUGUACCCGUACUGAAAAAUACGGGUCUGCUUGAAAAGGGAAUACCGGUGAAAAUCCGUAACAGUCUCCGCUGCUGUAACUCCGUAAUGAAAAGCUGACAAUUUAGUGCCACUGUGCGCCACUGCGUAUGGGAAGGCUGUCAGCUUUGGGGAAGUCAGAAGACCUGCCUUUGCAUAUACUACUCA